UAAGAAUGGAAGAAAACAAUUCAUUAGCUGAAUUUUCAUAUAGUAGGUAUGAGUCCAAACAUCCUCUCAGGAGUUCAUUAUCUUUUCACCCUGACAUUUUAAAACACAAUGCAACAGGCUAGGAGAAACGAACUUUGAGUAGAUGACCUGGGUUCUAAAUUCUAGUUCUGAUCAGGGGAGCUAGGAUAAGGUGCAUGGAUCCCCUGAGCCUACAUUUUCUCAUUUUAUAAAUAAGGAGACUAAAACCAAUAAUGUCUCAGGAAACACUGGACAAGCUGUUUGGGCUCUCUAGCCUUGGAUUCCUCAUUUGUAAGACAAAGAAGAUAAUCCUACCCUAUUGCCCAUGUUGGUGUGGGAAUCCACAAAGAAGGACACGGCACUGUUCCAAGUCAAGGUUACAGGGAGAAUGGAACAAGUUUCAGUAGAAGAAACUUCACCUAACCUCUUUAAUUCCAACAGUUCUUGAAUUUCCUGAAAAAUCUAUUGAUGGUUUCACAGCAGUUUCAAUGUUUUAAACGAUAGUAGUUUCACCACCUAAGAAGUUGUCUUUCAAUAAGAAGACCAAAGAGGAAGAUAUAAAAAGACUUAUUUUGGUGUAUCUCUAGGGUAUUCCCUAAGAACUGGUAUACAAUGGGUCUAGAUAUUUGAGGAAGUCUGAGUUGAUGCAUAGGCAGGUAUGGUCAAUAUGAAAUUAGGCUUAUCAGCCUGAUUUGAUUCUUACUCAGACUGGUAAGAACUGAGGAUAUAAGGGCUGAGGACAUAAAGGUCACCCCAGAUAGCCAUCUUGUGCUGAACCUGCUUUUUGGCAGGUAAGUUCUUGCCAACCCUAAUUAUUUCUGCUAACUCCCUUUGUAUUUCCAGUACCACCGUACUCAAUUAAAGAUCCAGACUCAUCUCUUACAAUAGUAAAACAUACCUAAGAUCAGGCUAUAAUGUUUACACAAGUUUAUUAUUACCUUUAGUAUUUUAUUCAAAUAAUAUCACAAAGCAUUAAAAAUUUCAGAAAUAAACCUAUAGACACACCCCUAAAACUUUAUAUGAAUAUCUCUGAGGCAAUAGGCCAUGGUUCUCUGCAGGUUAGUGGUGCAUUGUUCACUAGCUGUUAAAUUAUUCAGUGCUUACACAGUCUCCAAACCAAAUGUAUACUUUUCUUUUUUCACUCCCAUUAUCUAAGUAGUCACCAUAAAAUAGCAAUAUUUACCAAAAAUAUCUCUCAUAUCUGUUCCAUCUUCUCCAAUUCAAUAGAAUUGUCAGUGCUAAAAAAUCUACUAUUUAGCUUAAGCCUCCUUCAAUUAUUUAUUUUUCAUAAUGGGAGACACUGUAGCACAACUGUUAAAUACACAAGUUCUAGACUUAGACUGUGCGUGGUUCAAAUUAACGUCUGACUAGUGGUGUCAUCAUUGCCAAAUUACUUAAUUUCUCUGACCCAUUGCAGAAUUAACAAAAAGUACAAUAAUUAUGAUGCCUACUCCUGCAAGCAUUAAAACAAACAUGCCUAUAUACACAUAUAUGUAAAAUGUGUUUUAUAAUAUCUGGAACAAAAUGUCCAUUCAAUAAAUAUUAGCUACUAGUAUUAUUGCCAUUAUUAUCUCCAAAAUUUAGCUCAAAUAUUUCUUUUUCAGUUACAAUUUGAAUAUCUCUGGGAAAAAUGUCAAUCAUUUUACUCUGUCUUGUGAUGUCGUCUUGUGAAAUGUAUUCUUUUUUUGGCACUGAUAAUAUUAAAUGGAUGAAAUUUAAAAUAACAGGUAUUCUCUCUGAAGAACAAUUUAUGCAACUUGAAGAUGGUCCAAAUACAAAUCAUAUCUGAUGGUUAACCAAUGAUACUGACAUCUGCCUUCCUGAAAGAUCAAUAAGAUUGGAGAAGAUUAUUAUAAUUGGAUGAGUGAUGACAUCACAGGGCAUUUUCUAUCUGUAAAUGAUAGAAAAUGGUGUUUACACUUACCUGGGAAGUAGAUUUUUAAUAUGGAUAGAAUUUAAAAGAUUUAAAACAUGUACACCUCUCUAGAUUUUGAAGUGUUAUUAUAGUCAAACUAAUAAUAAGGCUUAACUUUAAGUGAAAAAAAAAUGAGAAAAAUGUGCAGAAAAUAUCUACUAUAUAUUAUAUUGUGAUAAAUGACAGCUACUAUCAGUUGCUAAUAAAUUGAACUGAAAUAGCAGGAUAUAAAUAAAGAAAAGAUCUAUAUCUAGCCUAUUUAAAUCUUGCUUCUUAAUGGAAUUUUAUCAUUACUUUACUUCUCUAUUUUAUAGUACAUUCUAUAAGUUAUUUUUUAAAUUUACCACAUAAAGGAGGCUUUCUAUUAAGAGCUUGCUAAUGAAAUUACAAACUGAAACAUGAG
rnacentral:lncRNA from 10 species